AGCAUUGGAGAAUAUAGCUGGGUCGUCCCCCUCCUAAGGGGAAGGUCGCCCGUUCGAAUCGGGCCGGGGUCACCA
rnacentral:tRNA from 1 species